UUCCUCUCUCUGAAAUCAAUAAAGAUUUUUUUUUUUAAAUAAAUAAAAAUAAAUAAAUAAAAGACCAAGUAAUAUUCUCACCUUAAACAUGUGAAAGAUAUGUGGUCUAGACAAUCAGACCAUCCCCUCUCUUUUAUUUUUAACCACUCCUUAAGUAUGUGUAAAAACUUUCUAAAGUUUGUUUUAUCAGAAAAUAAAUUAGUGACAAGACAGGAUUCAACUCUUCAAUUUAUCAAACCAACUGGUUUGUAAUGACGCAGCCGAAAUUCAGUUAACGUAUUGCUCAAAGCAGGUCCAGUGGAAAUGGAACAGGUGGGGGUUUUUCAUUUACAGGGUUUUUACCCUUUUUGACACACCCUCAAAACAACUAUUCUAAGGGCACAGUGACUGCCACAGCCCAAUCCCCUUUUACAAAUGCAAGAGCUCUUGGGUUAAAUUGAGUUCUAUAAUUUUGGGGACGAUUAAUUUUUAUUAAUUACCAAACAUUUUAAAUGCUGUUCUUUCCCAAAGGGAAAGAGUGAGAGAGCUUCCACUAAAAAUGACUUAAUAUGUUCAUUUCUGUAAUUUAUGAAUAUUUAUUUAUUAUAAUCAAUGUAAUAUUAACUAUUCUCAGAAUAUGUACUUAUUCUGGGAAACAUUUAAAGGGAUUUUGAUGAAAAAAAUUGAACAGCCGCACACUUAGGAAACCCAGGUAUCGUAAACUGAUUCUGUACUAGUUAGGAUGUUUUCAAAUUAAUCCCCUUUUUCUGUUUGGCCAACCAUAAUGGUUGUCACUUGGACUGGACUGUUAGAAUUUGGAGGCCCGUGCCAGAACAAUGGAAUCGUCAGAAAACAGAACCAGGAGUCUUUCUGCCCUCUUAGGUUUGCUCCAGAAUUCUAGGGUGGUUUUUCCCUAUGUCCAUGACGUGACAACAUUAUAAUUGCUAAUCUGAAAGCAGUUUUCCCUUAUAUCAUUCUGGGGCAGCAAACUCAGUUGGCAAAUGAAGGAGUCCUCAGUCAAAAGCUGCAGAAUGGGACGGGCUUAGAGAUGGCAGAAAACAAUGUACAUGGAGCCAGGCACCUUCAGCCAUUGACUGUGGGGCAGAUGUGAUGCCAAGACAGACAGAAAUCACUGAGUCCCAGAUACCCCAUGAGACGCAGUCUCCUAUAAAAGUGACUACUCAGUUGUUCCAAAGGGGGCCGACAUACUAAGCUCAGGUAUGGCAAACCUUACUUUAACCCAAUAUACAUUUUCAAGUGUUCUUUUAAAAAAAAGUUUGUAUGAAUGCAAGUUAGGAAAAAUGUAUUCCUCCACUGAAACCAUUUUUGAAGGUUAGCAUGAUGAACAAGAGCUAUGUAAACCUCCAAGGUUCAUAAGGCUACCGUGUUCUUUCAGAUAUCACAUUAUUAAAAUGAAAUGGAAUUAUUUUGUGGCAAAAGAGGUGUCCCCAAAAGCAUGUGUAAUUAUAAUAAAAAGAGGCAUUCAGUUCUGACCUUAAACAGCAAAAUUAACUGUUAUGAAAUGAGUUCACUUUUUCAUAAAUCUCCCAGGCCUAGCUUUGAUGUGUCAACUGAUAAUAAAGAGCAGAGGUGCACGAUCGUUUGCUUGAGCGCGCUGAGAGGUGCUGAUGUGUGCGGAGUCCAGCACUGUGCUCAGCGCCUUCUCAGAUCUCUUCUCGUAGAAUCCUCCCAGCAACCCACAGAGAGGUAAUCCUUCCACUUCUUGCCCAGGAUGUCAUGGCCGGUAUAUGGCUUAUCCACAAUUCAAACCCAGAUCUAAGCCGCUGCCACCACAGCUCCGUUGCACCCUAAAGCUGUUUCUCAUCUAGGUUCUUAGUGUGGGACUAUGAAAACAAUGUGAUCUUCCAAUGACAGGUGUUUUUUUUUCCCUUUAAUCUGUUAUAAACUACUGGACUAAUUUCCAUUUUAUUUUUCAAAUUACUCCCAAAUAACUAAUUCAUUUAUUUAUAAUUAUUAUGUUAUCCCACCUCCAUUAGGUUUGAACCAAGAGCACCUGCCAGACACAAUUCUAUAGCAAAUGAGGAUCUAAUGGCUUCUCUCACUAUCAUUGGAACCACGUACACUGUUGGACUUAGCUGGUCAUGGUCCUCUAAGCAUCAUGUCCCUGCCACACCUCUGGGACUUAUAACGUAGAGGGACUUCAGGCUCAUGGGUCCUAAACAGAGACUUGGGGUACGGAGUGCUCAUAGCACCAGGAGAGGACUGAACUUUGCCAGGCAUUCUUUAUGAAGUUACCUGGCUUGGGUCCAGACAAACAUUACAGAGAAGCUGCUUUUCCAUCGCAGCCCUUGACAGUUGUUAUUGCUUUUAUUGUUCUCUGCCUAGAGUCAAAGUUUUCAGAAAGAAAAUACUGUUUCUUUGAAAUGUUAGAGACCUAAAGCAAGACUGGGUUGUUUUCACAUGUUCUCUUUCAAAAAGAGCAGCAGCAACAGGAAAGGGGAGGUCAAAAGCUUCAAGAGGUUUAAACCAGUCCAAGGAGUAGCAUCUUUCGACUAUCAGCACUCAGCUUUAAAUUCUUAGUUUCGGACUGCAGUCUGCUCUGUACCCCAGGAAAUAACUGGUGAAAAGCGGAGAGGUGAAUAAGCCGUUUUCAUUCGUUGAUUGUCCUUCCAGUCUGUUGAACGUAUUGGCAGUUUGAGAGAGAGUCACUGAGGAAAGGUGAAUGGCUGGGACACGCGACAAGCCCAGGCCUUAUGGUUCAGCCAGUGUUGUAGGCCAGAUUAGAGCCAAUUAUCUGCUCUGCUGAGAAACCGUGCCGAGUUAAACUAAGAAUAUCAGAUGUAAUUUUAGGCUUCUGCUGUCCCAUGAUAUAAUAAGCAUCGUGGUUGAGAAAGUUCUGAGAACCCAUCCAGAAACAACUUCCAAGGAGCCAUCAGUAAAUAAUGUGCUCAAAAAGAUUAAAAGUAUUCCCUCUACCAAAUGUUAUUUUAGUAUCCUUAUGAUUUCCAGUUGCCAGCACUUGGUUGCUGAAAAUUAGUUAGUGCUUUAAUAAUACAGAACAUUUUCAAAUAAAUGCUGUAAUUCUGCCUGCUUAAAUUUAGGAAUAAAAACUAUAUAGAGUUCUUAUUGAGAACUAUGAAAUUUUAAAAUUAUUCUCUGUAUAAGUCAAUAAAUAGUGGUUAGCAAAUGUAGUAAUCUGACACAUAGGUCUGAGCUGCAGUGUCUGCACCCACAUCCGAAGCCAAGUAUUGUUCAUUGUCAUCAUCGUUGAAGCUCAUUAAAAUACACAGGAAUCCAGAUGUGAAACGGACUAAUCUACCCUUGUAUAUGUAAGGAAAUAUAUUUAAAUAAUGCAUAUUUCUAAGCCAAGACAUAGGAAAGGAUAGAAAUGAGAGCAGUUCUUUUAGCAUUUCAAUGACAAAUAUGUAAUGAGGGGGUCGAAAUAUAAAAACAACCAAGAGCCAGUAGUACAAAUAAACUGCUUAGAAUAAAGUCUCCAUGAAUCCGAAGUCCACUCUGUAGAAAUUCUCGCUAAUUGCAUCUCUGUUGAGCUUUCAGAAGAGAAGCAACACACAUGGAAACAAGUUUAUAAUACUAGAGACUUUCUUAAAGCCACAUACUUUCACAGACAUGCAAAUGAGAACCAUGUUCAGAAGGAUGCCCUGAGGACUUAGCAUCCAAAGAGGGAGCCCAGCUGACUGCACUUUUCUUAGCAAGGCGGGAAAGAAAAAUAAUGCAUUGGAGAUUUUUCUUAACAAGAUUGAAAUUAAACAUUGCUUUCUGAUAAAAGUCAUUAACUAAAAAUUAAAUUAACCAAAAUGCUAACUAUGUGAGCAUCGUAGAUAGUUAAGGUCGUGCUUCAAAUAGGGCUGUUUCCCUCCAUGAUCCAACAGAUCUUAACAACCUUCUUUUUUUUAACUUAUACUGAUAUAAGCACAAGAGGAUUUAAUCUACUUGAAAGAAUUUCUUCCAAAGGAUGCGCUUGUUUUGUGAUGCUUUGUUUCUAUGCCAGUGUUUCCAAGGUUAUUCUGCCUUGUUUGAGGGGAAUGUACAGAUAAUGUCUAUUAUGCAGUAGGGGUGUCAGUGCAUUUAAUUCAUUGGAUCAAUGACAAGAUUACUUACGUGUCAGCUUAACUUCAGUGGCUACUGAAGCAUGAAACAUUCACUCUCUCCCACCCUCCAUCAGCUUGGUCUUGCUAAUUCUUCUGCAUCCCACUGUGCUGCUUCUGUGGUCCUCUGCGUCCUUGUGCAGGUGUUGUCUGUCUGUCUGUCUGAUCUCAUGUCUGUCUUGUCCAGUUCUCCUGCAGUUUCUUCCUGUGUGUCUGUUUGUAGAUGAAGGGGCUGAGGAUCCAGUGGGUCCUCUGCGCAGGUUCCCCAGCCACGAGCCUGCCACCAGCGGGAAGAGGCGUAGACUCCUAGCCCCCUCCAUCUCGGUGUCUGUGCCUGAGGAUGACCCUUGCAAUUCCGAUGAGGAGUACUAUGAGCAUCCUUUGUUCAGCUCACACUGGAACACCUCUAGUGUGCUCCCCAGUGUCCCAGCGCAGAGUGCAGAGGCCCACUUAGGCCAGGAGAAAGGUGAACCGAGCAUGGUCCCCUUCUGGUCCCCCUCCCCAGCCUGCAGCUCUGACCACAUGCAUUAUCCUGAGGGUGCCUUUAUACUUGGGGUGGGAGGGAUAUGAGCCUGUUUUUUCCAUAUGAAAGGGAAGUCCCUAUAUAGCUUAUAUCCAUCCAAAGGCCUCAAUAAUCACAUAAAAGGAGCCUUACUU